CCCUUAGAUGUUCUGGGCUGCACGCGCGCUACACUGAAGCUAUCAACACGUUUUCCCUCCCUGAGAAGGGCGGGUAACCUUUUGAAUCAGCUUCGUGGUAGGGAUCGGGGCUUGCAAUUGUUCCCCGUGAACCAGGAAUUCCUAGUAGACGCGAGUCAUAAGCUCGCAUCGAUUAAGUCCCUGCCCUUUGUACACACCGCCCGUCGCUACUACCGAUUGAACGUUUUAGUGAGGCAUUUGGACCGACGCAUCUCAGUUUAACCGCUGGUUUGUGUUGGAAAGACUUCCAAACUUGAGCGUUGAGAGGAAGUAAAAGGCGUAACA
rnacentral:rRNA from 1 species